GAUGAACGCUGGCGGCGUGCCUAAUACAUGCAAGUCGAGCGAACAGACGAGGAGCUUGCUCCUCUGACGUUAGCGGCGGACGGGUGAGUAACACGUGGAUAACCUACCUAUAAGACUGGGAUAACUUCGGGAAACCGGAGCUAAUACCGGAUAAUAUAUUGAACCGCAUGGUUCAAUAGUGAAAGACGGUUUUGCUGUCACUUAUAGGUGGAUCCGCGCCGCAUUAGCUAGUUGGUAAGGUAACGGCUUACCAAGGCAACGAUGCGUAGCCGACCUGAGGGGGUGAUCGGCCACACUGGAACUGAGACACGGUCCAGACUCCUACGGGAGGCAGCAGUAGGGAAUCUUCCGCAAUGGGCGAAAGCCUGACGGAGCAACGCCGCGUGAGUGAUGAAGGUCUUCGGAUCGUAAAACUCUGUUAUUAGGGAAGAACAAAUGUGUAAGUAACUAUGCACGUCUUGACGGUACCUAAUCAGAAAGCCACGGCUAACUACGUG
rnacentral:rRNA from 1 species